CAGCCGCCACGGGAAUACGUAGGUGGCAAGCGUUGUCCGGAAUUAUUGGGCGUAAAGGGCUCGCAGGCGGUUUCUUAAGUCUGAUGUGAAAGCCCCCGGCUCAACCGGGGAGGGUCAUUGGAAACUGGGAAACUUGAGUGCAGAAGAGGAGAGUGGAAUUCCACGUGUAGCGGUGAAAUGCGUAGAGAUGUGGAGGAACACCAGUGGCGAAGGCGACUCUCUGGUCUGUAACUGACGCUGAGGAGCGAAAGCGUGGGGAGCGAACAGGAUUAGAUACCCCUGUAGUCCCUGUCUCUUAUAA
rnacentral:rRNA from 1 species